AAAUUGAAGAGUUUGAUCAUGGCUCAGAUUGAACGCUGGCGGCAGGCCUAACACAUGCAAGUCGAACGGUAACAGGAAACAGCUUGCUGUUUCGCUGACGAGUGGCGGACGGGUGAGUAAUGUCUGGGAAACUGCCUGAUGGAGGGGGAUAACUACUGGAAACGGUAGCUAAUACCGCAUAACGUCGCAAGACCAAAGAGGGGGACCUUCGGGCCUCUUGCCAUCGGAUGUGCCCAGAUGGGAUUAGCUAGUAGGUGGGGUAACGGCUCACCUAGGCGACGAUCCCUAGCUGGUCUGAGAGGAUGACCAGCCACACUGGAACUGAGACACGGUCCAGACUCCUACGGGAGGCAGCAGUGGGGAAUAUUGCACAAUGGGCGCAAGCCUGAUGCAGCCAUGCCGCGUGUAUGAAGAAGGCCUUCGGGUUGUAAAGUACUUUCAGCGGGAGGAAGGGAGUAAAGUUAAUACCUUUGCUCAUUGACGUUACCCGCAGAAGAAGCACCGGCUAACUCCGUGCCAGCAGCCGCGGUAAUACGGAGGGUGCAAGCGUUAAUCGGAAUUACUGGGCGUAAAGCGCACGCAGGCGGUUUGUUAAGUCAGAUGUGAAAUCCCCGGGCUCAACCUGGGAACUGCAUCUGAUACUGGCAAGCUUGAGUCUCGUAGAGGGGGGUAGAAUUCCAGGUGUAGCGGUGAAAUGCGUAGAGAUCUGGAGGAAUACCGGUGGCGAAGGCGGCCCCCUGGACGAAGACUGACGCUCAGGUGCGAAAGCGUGGGGAGCAAACAGGAUUAGAUACCCUGGUAGUCCACGCCGUAAACGAUGUCGACUUUGGAGGUUGUGCCCUUGAGGCGUGGCUUCCGGAGCUAACGCGUUAAGUCGACCGCCUGGGGAGUACGGCCGCAAGGUUAAAACUCAAAUGAAUUGACGGGGGCCCGCACAAGCGGUGGAGCAUGUGGUUUAAUUCGAUGCAACGCGAAGAACCUUACCUGGUCUUGACAUCCACGGAAGUUUUCAGAGAUGAGAAUGUGCCUUCGGGAACCGUGAGACAGGUGCUGCAUGGCUGUCGUCAGCUCGUGUUGUGAAAUGUUGGGUUAAGUCCCGCAACGAGCGCAACCCUUAUCCUUUGUUGCCAGCGGUCCGGCCGGGAACUCAAAGGAGACUGCCAGUGAUAAACUGGAGGAAGGUGGGGAUGACGUCAAGUCAUCAUGGCCCUUACGACCAGGGCUACACACGUGCUACAAUGGCGCAUACAAAGAGAAGCGACCUCGCGAGAGCAAGCGGACCUCAUAAAGUGCGUCGUAGUCCGGAUUGGAGUCUGCAACUCGACUCCAUGAAGUCGGAAUCGCUAGUAAUCGUGGAUCAGAAUGCCACGGUGAAUACGUUCCCGGGCCUUGUACACACCGCCCGUCACACCAUGGGAGUGGGUUGCAAAAGAAGUAGGUAGCUUAACCUUCGGGAGGGCGCUUACCACUUUGUGAUUCAUGACUGGGGUGAAGUCGUAACAGGUAACCGUAGGGGAACCUGCGGUUGGAUCACCUCCUUACCUUAAAGAAGC
rnacentral:rRNA from 1 species